UACGUAGGGGGCAAGCGUUGUCCGGAUUUAUUGGGCGUAAAGAGCGUGUAGGCGGCCAAGCAGGUCCGCUGUGAAAACUCGAGGCUCAACCUCGAGACGUCGGUGGAAACCGUUUGGCUAGAGUCCGGAAGAGGAGAGUGGAAUUCCCGGUGUAGCGGUGAAAUGCGCAGAUAUCGGGAAGAACACCCGUGGCGAAGGCGGUUCUCUGGGCAUUACCUGACGCUGAGGAGCGAAAGUGUGGGGAGCGAACAGG
rnacentral:rRNA from 1 species